GGGAAGAGCCCAGCGCCGAAUCCCCGACCCCCGGUCGUGGGAAAUGUGGCGUUAGGGAGUGAGCGUGCCGGGUUCGCGCUGGACGGCAAGUCCCCCUGACCGGGGCCUAUCCAUAGCGGGUGCGAGGCCCAUAGCCGUCCGGUGCGUCUCGGAUGCGAUCUCCUUGGAGUCGGGUUGCUUGGGAGUGCAGCCCUAAUCGGGUGGUAAACUCCACCUAAGGCUAAAUACCGCCGUGAGACCGAUAGCAAACAAGUACCGUGAGGGAAAGUUGCAAAGAACUUUGAAGAGAGAGUUCAAGAGUACGUGAAACUGCUCAGAGGUAAACGGGUGGGCCCUCGAAAUCCUGUGGCGAGAGGAUUCAGUCUGUCGCGUCGUGCGAGCUUGGCCGGGAAACCAGGCAGGGCGUCCCGGGACCGGGGCCGCCCGGCCGCUCGUUCGCGACCGCGUCAGACGCAUUUGGCUCUCGUCCGAAGGACGCUGCAGCCGGCGGGGCAGUGCAAGCGUGACGGCCUGGAGGUCGGGAGAUGGCAGGUGGCCGGUGGCGUGCCGAGUGCGCGUCGCCGGUUGUUAGCCGUCCCGUCAGUGGCCCGUCGCCCCGCCGAGGUGUCACAAGGCCCCCCACGGGCCCCCUCCGUCUCCUCUUGAAGGACGCGGGAAAGAUCGUCGCUGGCGAAGGCCGCAGACCCGCCGCACCCGCGAGGGGUGGGCGGGCGUCGCGUCGGCGCCGCAGGCGGCGGCGAGUCCCGCCGGAGACAGGAGGCUCGCAGCGAGUAGGUCGGUCACCCACCCGACCCGUCUUGAAACACGGACCAAGGAGUCUAACAUGUGCGCGAGUCAAUGGGUCUUGAACAGGCCCAGGGGCGCAAUGAAAGCAAAGGCCGGCCUCACGCCGGCCGAGUUGGGAUCCGGCCCUUCUAACAGGGGGUCGGCGCACCAACGACCCGUCCCGUCCGGCCUGGCCGGUGGGGCGGAGUGUGAGCGUACACGUUGGGACCCGAAAGAUGGUGAACUAUGCCCGGACAGGACGAGGCCAGAGGAAACUCUGGUGGAGGUCCGCA
rnacentral:rRNA from 1 species